CACACCGCCCGUCACACCAUGGGAGUGGGCUUCACCAGAAGCAGGUAGCCUAACCGCAAGGGGGGCGCCUACCACGGUGAGAUUCAUGACUGGGGUG
rnacentral:rRNA from 1 species